CAUACAAUAAGCGGAGGAAAAGAAACCAACAGGGAUUGCCUCAGUAACGGCGAGUGAAGCGGCAAUAGCUCAAAUUUGAAAGCUGGCGUCUUCGACGUCCGCGUUGUAAUUUGUAGAGGAUGCUUCGGCAAGGACUCCUGCCUAAGUCCCCUGGAACGGGGCGUCACAGAGGGUGAGAAUCCCGUACGUGGCGGGCGGUCCGAGCCAUGUGAAGCUCCUUCGACGAGUCGAGUUGUUUGGGAAUGCAGCUCUAAAUGGGAGGUAAAUUUCUUCUAAAGCUAAAUACUGGCCAGAGACCGAUAGCGCACAAGUAGAGUGAUCGAAAGAUGAAAAGCACUUUGGAAAGAGAGUUAAAAAGUACGUGAAAUUGUUGAAAGGGAAGCGCUUGCAACCAGACUCGACCGCAGUUGCUCAGCCGGCCUCUUGGCCGGUGUACUCUUCUGCGGCCGGGCCAGCAUCAGUUCGGGCGGCUGGAUAAAGGUGUCGGGAAUGUAGCACCCUUCGGGGUGUGUUAUAGCCCGGCGCGGAAUGCGGCCAGCCUGGACUGAGGAUCUCGCUUCGGCAAGGAUGCUGGCGUAAUGGUUGUAAGCGGCCCGUCUUGAAACACGGACCAAGGAGUCUAACAUCUAUGCGAGUGUUUGGGUGUCAAACCCAUGCGCGUAAUGAAAGUGAACGGAGGUGGGAACCCCUCGCGGGGUGCACCAUCGACCGAUCCUGAUGUCUUCGGAUGGAUUUGAGUAAGAGCAUAGCUGUUGGGACCCGAAAGAUGGUGAACUAUGCCUGAAUAGGGUGAAGCCAGAGGAAACUCUGGUGGAGGCUCGCAGCGGUUCUGACGUGCAAAUCGAUCGUCAAAUUUGGGUAUAGGGGCGAAAGACUAAUCGAACCAUCUAGUAGCUGGUUCCUGCGUCU
rnacentral:rRNA from 1 species